rnacentral:lncRNA from 1 species
GGGAUACUUGAAGCUAGGGCAAUCCAAGUAAGAUAGCUUCAUCCUCAGGCAACAGGUUUAUGUUAUCUUAUCAUGGAGUCAUUUUUAAGUUUGUGCCCAACGCCUUCAUCCUUAGAAUGGCUGCCCAGAUGGCAAGCCACCGUACUCAGGCGACUGCCGCGCUAGGUAUUCUCGACCACUGCUGCAGUUUUUCAUUGCCGUGCUUAUUCCAUUUGCACCAACCUUGCUAUUUAGUAAAAUGAACGUCUCUGUUUCUUCUACUACAAUGACAUGAUAAGAUUACCUUAUCCCUUUCAGCAGGGUGCUCCAACUUUUGAUGCUGGCGAAGCUUUUGGAAUGAUGGCUACAUAAUUUGUUAGUCUCCGUUGGAAGCUUAAUUAAACUGAGGUAAAUAUGCCAGAUUCUUUUGUCAAAUAAUAACAUGACUGUCUAUUUUGUUCUUAGGACCAAUAUCUGUGCCUAUCAAUGAAAUUUUGAGAGUAGUUUUUGGUGCCUCUAUGUAACCCUGAUAGCAGCUUCUCUGAAGGUUCAGAUGUGUGGCAAAGGAUUUCAAUUUUCCUGUUUACACAAAGGAAACUUGAGGAAGGUUCAGAUUUUUCAUGCUCGGUGCUGUGCUCUCAAGGUUACAUAGACAAAAAUGCCUCCUAUUUACACAACGGCAACCCGACGAAG